rnacentral:misc_RNA from 1 species
UUUCCGUAGGUGAACCUGCGGAAGGAUCAUUAAAAAAUAAGGCCUUUUUGAAAGGGUCUAUUAAUAAUCUACCCUUGUGAAUUUGUUUGUUUGAAAUAAUUUUUUAAAAAAUUAUUGAAUGUCUUUCCCUGGUUGUUUGCUUUUGAAAGUGAACUCCAGGGGAAUGGCAAACAUAAUAUUUAAAGACUUUUUUUUAAAUUAAACUUUUUGUAUUCAUUUGUCUAAAAUUAUUUUAUAAUAUAAAAACAACUUUUGACAAUGGAUCUCUUGGUUCUCGCAACGAUGAAGAACGCAGCAAAAUGCGAUAAGUAGUGUGAAUUGCAGAAUACGUGAAUCAUCGAAUCUUCGAACGCAUAUUGCACUUUUUUAGUUUACUAAAAAAGUAUGUCUGUUUGAGUAUCAGUAAAAUAUUCUCAUAAAAACUUUUUGUUUUUAUGGUUAUGAGUGUUUUACAACGAUACAAGUUGUUUCACUUUAAAUUCUUUGUUAUUAAAAAAAUCAUUAAAACUAUUUUAAAAUUUUUUUAAAAUUGGAUAAAAUUUUCCCGUAAAAAGGAAUAACCUAAACAAUUUUAAAAAAUUAAAAUUGGUUGAUUUCUUUUAAGAAAAAAAGGAAAAGUCAAAUUAACUUGAUCUCAAAUCAGAUAAGAGUACCCGCUGAACUUAAGCAUAUCAAUAAGCGGAGGAAAAGAAACUAACAAGGAUUCCCUUAGUAACGGCGAGUGAAGCGGGAAGAGCUCAAAUUUGAAAUCUUCAAGGUUUUACCUUGACGAAUUGUAGUUUAAAGAAGUGUUUUCUGUUGGAGUUUUGGUAAAAAGUUCUUUGGAAUAGGACAUCAUAGAGGGUGAGAAUCCCGUAUUUGACCAUUACUUUCCAGCUGUGUGAUACACUUUCAAAGAGGUCGGAUUGUUUGGGAAUGCAGUCCAAAAUGGGUGGUAAAUUUCAUCUAAAGCUAAAUAUUGGCGAGAGACCGAUAGCGAACAAGUACCGUGAGGGAAAGAUGAAAAGAACUUUGAAAAGAGAGUUAAACAGUACGUGAAAUUGUCAAAAGGGAAGCGUUUGACACCAGUGUUGUUUUCUCGAAAAUCAAUUAAAAAUGCUGAUUUUGUGUUGUAUUGACUUUAUCAGCUUUCUGCACUUUUUUCUUAUCUUUUUUAAUGCACUUUUCGUUUAACAAGUCAACAUCAAUUUUCUUUUGUUGUAAAAGAGUCAUUGGAAGGUGGCUUUUUCUUCGGAGAAAGUGUUUAUAGCCUUUACCUUCUGCAAUCGGAGAGAUUGAGGUCUGCAGCGUAGAUCCUUCGGGGUUAGAUACAUUUGUGCUAAGCUAUAGUUCUUUAUAGACAACUUGUUGACUAUAAUCAAUCCUGUAACUUACUCGCUUAUGCUAUUUUACCUACGCUUAGGAUGUUUGAG